rnacentral:rRNA from 1 species
GUGAAGAAGGCCUUAUGGUUGUAAAGCACUUUAAGCGAGGAGGAGGCUACUUUAGUUAAUACCUAGAGAUAGUGGACGUUACUCGCAGAAUAAGCACCGGCUAACUCUGUGCCAGCAGCCGCGGUAAUACAGAGGGUGCGAGCGUUAAUCGGAUUUACUGGGCGUAAAGCGUGCGUAGGCGGCUUAUUAAGUCGGAUGUGAAAUCCCCGAGCUUAACUUGGGAAUUGCAUUCGAUACUGGUGAGCUAGAGUAUGGGAGAGGAUGGUAGAAUUCCAGGUGUAGCGGUGAAAUGCGUAGAGAUCUGGAGGAAUACCGAUGGCGAAGGCAGCCAUCUG